GACGAACGCUGGCGGCGUGCUUAACACAUGCAAGUCGAACGCUGAAGCCCUUUCGGGGGUGGAUGAGUGGCGAACGGGUGAGUAACACGUGGGUAAUCUGCCCUGCACUCCGGGAUAAGCCUUGGAAACGGGGUCUAAUACCGGAUAGGACACAUCGCCGCAUGGUGUGUGUGUGGAAAGUUCCGGCGGUGCAGGUUGAGCCCGCGGCCUAUCAGCUUGUUGGUGGGGCGAUGGCCUACCAAGGCGACGACGGGUAGCCGGCCUGAGAGGGUGACCGGCCACACUGGGACUGAGACACGGCCCAGACUCCUACGGGGGGCAGCAGUGGGGAAUCUUGCGCAAUGGGCGAAAGCCUGACGCAGCAACGCCGCGUGGGGGAUGACGGCCUUCGGGUUGUAAACCUCUUUCGACCGGGACGAAGGGUGACUGACGGUACCGGUAGAAGAAGCACCGGCUAACUACGUGCCAGCCGCCGCAGUAA
rnacentral:rRNA from 1 species